GACGAACGCUGGCGGCGUGCCUAAUACAUGCAAGUCGAACGAACUCUGGUAUUGAUUGGUGCUUGCAUCAUGAUUUACAUUUGAGUGAGUGGCGAACUGGUGAGUAACACGUGGGAAACCUGCCCAGAAGCGGGGGAUAACACCUGGAAACAGAUGCUAAUACCGCAUAACAACUUGGACCGCAUGGUCCGAGUUUGAAAGAUGGCUUCGGCUGUC
rnacentral:rRNA from 1 species